rnacentral:miRNA from 1 species
CGAGGCCGCUGAUUGUGCCAUA